UACGUAGGUGGCAAGCGUUGUCCGGAUUUACUGGGCGUAAAGGAUGCGUAGGCGGACAUUUAAGUCAGAUGUGAAAUACCCGAGCUUAACUUGGGUGCUGCAUUUGAAACUGGGUGUCUAGAGUGCAGGAGAGGUAAGUGGAAUUCCUAGUGUAGCGGUGAAAUGCGUAGAGAUUAGGAAGAACACCAGUGGCGAAGGCGACUUACUGGACUGUAACUGACGCUGAGGCGCGAAAGCUAGGGUAGCAAACGGG
rnacentral:rRNA from 1 species